AUGGACAACCUUGAGAACACGUCAGAGGACAAAGGCUUAAAUUUUCAGUGCAAUCUAUCUGACAUAGAGGUCGUACAUAGCAUGACACAGCUCUUACUUCAUGCAUUGGCCACAGCUUCAGUGGACAGCACCACUGGUGAUAUGUUCAAGAGCCCAGCAUCUGUAGCUAUUGGCAUGAAGUCCGAACUAUCAGGGUACAUGAUUCAGAGAUCUGAAACACUUGUUCGCGAAUCUAUGGAUGGAGGCGAGGAUCAUUCAGAUAAAUUAACAAAAGCAUCCUCCAGGCCGACGGAGUUCCUGUCAGACUUGAUCGAUGAGUUUGUGACCUCAAAAAGGGGCAUGCUGAGCCAUGUCUCUGGGCUUUUUUCUAGCGAAAGCCGCCUGAACAAAAUUAAAGACUUCAUGCAAAAGUUAGAGACGGAUAACUCAUGGGCCCAGGAUGAAAGGAAGGCGACUGCAUGGGCUAUUCUGGAGAACAUAGACAGUAAAGGCAUUUUCCAUUGCCCCGAGAGGUUUGACAUGCCAGAUAAGCUAGCUGAGCACACAAGUCAAUGCAAAUUUAGGAUACUGAAUUGCACAUAUGAUGGAUGUGUAGCUUCUUUCUGUGCUAUUCAUAUCGAAAAGCAUGACACUGUCUGCCCAUUCAAGCUCCUACCAUGCGAGCAGCUGUGUGAACAACAUGUUAUGCGGUCUGAGAUGGACAAACAUUGUGGAACAGUUUGCCCUAUGAAGCUUACCAACUGCCCGUUUUUUAGAAUUGGCUGUGAAACAGCCUUUCCACAGUGUAAUCUUGAUAACCAUUGUUCGCGGUUUCUACAAACCCAUUUGAUGUAUGUCGUCAAGGUGAUUACAAGACAGGGUGAUUGUGUUAAUGAUAUGGAUCAACGGCUGCAACUCCUUGAGAAGGUGCAAUCAUUGAACGAACUCGCUGGGGCUUUAGAUGUCAAGGCCCUCACUCUGAUUACAAAGGAACAAGAAUCAAAGAUAAAUAAACUCGAACGGGAUCUCAAAGCCCAAGAAACAAGGAUGAAGAAACUCGAGAACGAUCUUAGGUCACGGAAAUAA
rnacentral:rRNA from 1 species